rnacentral:rRNA from 1 species
GGUUUCUUGUAAAAAAUUAAGAAAUUUAAUCUGCCCACUGAAUAAAUUUUUGAAGGGCCGCAGUAUUUUGACUGUGCAAAGGUAGCAUAAUCAUUAGUCUUUUAAUUGAAGGCUUGUAUGAAUGAUUGGACGAGGUAAAUACUGUUUUAUAUAAAUUAUUGUUGAAUUUAAGUUUUAAGUAAAAAAACUUAAAUAUAAUUAAGGGACGAGAAGACCCUAUAGAGUUUAAUAUAUGAAAUAAUUAAUUGAGUUAAAGUUUAAUUUUUGAUUAUUAUUAAAUUUAUUUAAUUGGGGUGAUUAAAAAAUAAUUAAAACUUUUUUUUUAAUUUGAUAUUAUAAGUAAUUAUGUGAUCCAUUAAUUAAUGAUUAAAAGAUUAAAUUACCUUAGGGAUAACAGCAUAAUUUUUUUUAAGAGUUCAUAUCGAAAAAAAAGAUUAUGACCUCGAUGUUGGAUUAAGAAUAGUUUUAGGGUGUAGAAGUUCAAUAACUAGGUCUG